AAUAAUAAUAAUAACAACAACAACUAAUAACAACAACAACAACAAUAAGCACUUGUGUUGGUGUUUAACUAAAAGAUAUUCUAAAGUAAUGCAUCUGCAUUUGCCAAAAUCAGCAGCAAAUAAAUUCAAACUGACCCAUAUCAAUUUUAAAUCAUUUAAGACAAAAACAAAACAAAACCCAUGAAAGGAAUGACUAGGAAAGACAAAAGGUAACAAAAAAAAUUACCAUGGUACUUUCCCUUAAAGCAAG
rnacentral:misc_RNA from 1 species